rnacentral:rRNA from 1 species
CCAAUAGCGUAUAUUAAAGUUGUUGCAGUUAAAAAGCUCGUAGUUGAAUUUCGGGAUCAGUACGUUGGUCAUGCCUUCGGUAUGUACUGGUGUCACUGAUUCCUCCCUUCUGAAGAACUGUCAUGUCAUUCACUUGGUGUGGCAGGGAAUCAGGACUGUUACUUUGAAAAAAUUAGAGUGUUUAAAGCAGGCUCGCGCUUGAAUACAUUAGCAUGGAAUAAUGGAAUAGGACGUUGACCCUAUUUUGUUGGUUUCUAGGAUUGACGUAAUGAUUAAUAGGGAUAGUUGGGGGCAUUAGUAUUCAAUUGUCAGAGGUGAAAUUCUUGGAUUUAUUGAAGACUAACUACUGCGAAAGCAUUUGCCAAGGAUGUUUUCAUUAAUCAAGAACGAAAGUUAGGGGAUCGAAGACGAUCAGAUACCGUCGUAGUCUUAACCAUAAACUAUGCCGACUAGGGAUCGGAUGAUGUUAAUUUUUUAAUGACUCAUUCGGCGCCUUACG